ensembl:lncRNA novel transcript
AAGACAAUUCAGGGCUAGUAACAUCCUUUCUGAGCCCCAGCUUUCCCUUCACUAAAAUAGAGUUAAAUAUCUAUUUUUGUGAGCAUUAAGUAAUGUGAUUUAAAGCAUCUGACACUUAGCAUAUACUCUUAACUAAAAUUGAUUUUCUCCUGUAGUAAACAUUUUCAUAUUUUCUGGUAGCUCAGGAUGUUUUGAAUAUAUUUGCUAUGUUUAGGGAAUUUCCAAUCUUAAUAUAAGUGUUGCUUCCCCAAGGUAAGCUCUGAAAAUUUUUCCAGACUCUCAAAGCUAGGGCCAGCACGCCUGCAGAAGACUGAUUUGGAAGUUAGCAGCUUGAGAAAGGAAAAAUUCUGCUUUGAAAACAAUUUGCUGAUAAAGGCAUAUGACAUUUGGGAUGGCAGUGCUUGCAAGGCCACAACUAGUGCAGUAGUGGCCUUGCUGGGCAGUGGGAGUGGCAGCAGUUACAUUUAGUGUUUGGUAGGGCAUUAAUAAGUUGUGGCGGUGACUUUGUCAUUGGACCAGUUUUAUGGGAUAGUUUUAAGCAUUGUUCCUGGAAGCCUAAUUCCAUACCUGUUCCUCUAGCCUCCCAUUGAUUCUCUGAGUCUUCCCAUCUCCUUUUAACAAAUUCUUUUCUGCUCACUCAGCCAGAAUUAGCUUCUGUUACUUACAACUGUGAGUCCUGACUGAAAACAUAUUUCUUCCUUUGAAGAACUGUUACCUGUAACAGGCUAAGAAGAAUAUUAAGAAUAAACAGAUGCUUUUACAGCUCGCCUUGGCGGGAAGAUCUGGCACAAAUGAAGUAUCUAUAAGGAGCAGCAGAGUCAAGGUGGUGAUCCUGUGGAUG